rnacentral:rRNA from 1 species
GACGUACUUGUACUGAUUGAGAUUUUAACACGAAGUGAGUGGCGAACGGGUGAGUAACACGUGGGUAACCUGCCCAGAAGUAGGGGAUAACACCUGGAAACAGAUGCUAAUACCGUAUAACAGAGAAAACCGCAUGGUUUUCUUUUAAAAGAUGGCUCUGCUAUCACUUCUGGAUGGACCCGCGGCGUAUUAGCUAGUUGGUGAGGUAAAGGCUCACCAAGGCAGUGAUACGUAGCCGACCUGAGAGGGUAAUCGGCCACAUUGGGACUGAGACACGGCCCAGACUCCUACGGGAGGCAGCAGUAGGGAAUCUUCCACAAUGGACGCAAGUCUGAUGGAGCAACGCCGCGUGAGUGAAGAAGGGUUUCGGCUCGUAAAGCUCUGUUGUUAAAGAAGAACGUGGGUAAGAGUAACUGUUUACCCAGUGACGGUAUUUAACCAGAAAGCCACGGCUAACUACGUGCCAGCAGCCGCGGUAAUACGUAGGUGGCAAGCGUUAUCCGGAUUUAUUGGGCGUAAAGCGAGCGCAGGCGGUCUUUUAAGUCUAAUGUGAAAGCCUUCGGCUCAACCGAAGAAGUGCAUUGGAAACUGGGAGACUUGAGUGCAGAAGAGGACAGUGGAACUCCAUGUGUAG